rnacentral:rRNA from 1 species
CCCUUAGAUGUUCUGGGCCGCACGCGCGCUACACUGAUGCAUUCAACGAGUCCAACCUUGACCGAGAGGUCCGGGUAAUCUUUGAAACUGCAUCGUGAUGGGGCUAGAUUAUUGCAAUUAUUAAUCUUCAACGAGGAGUGCCUAGUAAGCGUGAUUCAUCAAAUCGCGUUGAUUACGUCCCUGCCCUUUGUACACACCGCCCGUCGCUCCUACCGAUUGAGUGUGUUGGUGAGGAGUUUGGAUUGGCCUCGGAAGGUGGUUCGCCACCGUCCGUAGCUGAGAAGUUCUCCAAACCGCCCCACUUAGAGGAAGGAGAAGUCGUAACA